GAGGCAGUAGUGGAAGUCGUUCACGACAACAACCUCUGACAGCGAUCGUAAAUGCCUUGGACAUAAUCAUGUUUCCAGCGUCAACAUAUUCUAUCUGCAUAGCAUCGUUCUUGAAUUUUAAUGCGCUGGCUCUGGGGGUAUUGGUAAUUCUCUGUGAGGUCGUGUCCGGGUUCCGCACGGAUCAAGUUCCGAAAGUUCCGAAAGUUCAAGGCCGCGAGCAGGAUGUCAACUGAAAAGUAUCAGGCCUACAGUUCACUGUACAGUCGAAAUUGUCCAAGACGGCCACCCAUUGUUGAGGAGAGUCGUGGUUGUCAUAGACAGGUGGACGCCUACAACAGUAUCGCUUUGGUAUUUAAAGGAACUGGUUGUUUGUACAGUUGUUUGCCUUAGACAGGUAGCCGUUACCAUAAAAGGCUACUUCAUGAUAAAGUCUUUCUUUGAGGUUUUUUAUUAAGUAGGUAUAAAUAUGCAGACGCGCGUGAAAUAAAGACGAUAAAUAUGUAAAUAGA